GGAUAAGCACAUCAAUACCUUUGACACCACUUGUUACAUGGUGAAUUAUAUUUUGGACAGAAGGUAGAGAAAGAAAUGUGUGAAUGACAUGAGGAGAACUGAAGCAUGGUCCUGACCCUGAUUUGUACAUAUGAACAUAUCGACCUUUUGUGGGUUAUUUCAGUUAUCAGUGAGAUGUUUGUAAUAAAGUGUGAAGUUAUGUUUUGAAAAUAAAUUGGGUUAUUUAAUACUUA